CGGCACGCUUAACACAUGCAAGUCGAACGCAGUAGCAAUACUGAGUGGCAGACGGGUGAGUAUAAUGUGGGAAUCUGCCUUUUGGUUCGGAAUAACUCGGGGAAACUUGAGCUAAUACCGGAUAAGCCCUUACGGGGAAAGAUUUAUCGCCGAAAGAUGAGCCCGCACUUGAUUAGCUUGUUGGUGAGGUAAAAGCUCACCAAGGCAACAAUCAAUAGCUGUUCUUAGAGGAAGACCAGCCACAUUGGGACUGAGACACGGCCCAGACUCCUACGGGAGGCAGCAGUGGGGAAUCUUGCACAAUGGGGGAAACCCUGAUGCAGCGAUGCCGCGUGAGUGAAGAAGGCCUUUGGGUUGUAAAACUCUUUCGUCGGGGAAGAAAAUGACUGUACCCGAAUAAGAAGGUCCGGCUA
rnacentral:rRNA from 1 species